AUGUUAGAGAGAUACUGGACCAUCAGUGAAAUUGAAUUGAAGGAAGUGCCACAAUCAAUUGACCAAGAUAGCUAGUUACUACGAAAAGUGCUCAGAAGAGGUGCUUUACUUGGACUAUGUCAACAUCACCUAAAGUUGUGAAACUGGCAACCGCAUUUUUGUUAUGAUGGCCUUAUCUCUCUCUAUUGCCAAGGAUGUGGUAAGCAGUGAUUCCAUUGAAUGUGAGGUUGAAAAUGGAGGUAUGCUUGGGAGCAAGAAGGGCAUGAACCUCCCAGGUGUCCCAGUAGACCUUCCUGCAGUCUCUGAGAAGGACCGUGGUGACCUCCUCCUUGUUCAAAUGAGUAGACAUUGUGUUUGCAUCCUUCAUCCUGAUGCAGCUGGAGUCCGUGAAUCAGGAAACAUUAAAAUCAUCAGCAAGAUGAGAUCACCAGGGAUGCAGAACAUGAUGACACAUUGAAGAGGGAGAUGGUAUCAUGAUUGCUCGUGGUGAUUUGGGAUUGAGAUCCCACGAAGGUCUUUGCCCAGAAACAAUGAUUGCCAAGUGCAAAAAGUUAUGGAAAGCAUCAUUGUGCUACCAGAUGUUGGAAUCCAUGUGAAGAAACCGUCCCAAUGUGAAGUUUGAUGUUGUAAUGCUAUUCUGAUGGUGUGACUGUGUCAGCUGUCUGGUGAAAUGCUAAGGAGAUACCUCUUGUGGUGUCAACCAUGGCCAAUAUUGCACGUGAAGUGAAGCUGCAAUUUGCACAAGCAACUUUACUGAGCUUUAGCAGGUAAUGUCCAACUGCCCACUGACUCAACACACACCACAGCCAUUGCUGCUGUUGAAGCUUCAUUCAAAGCAAUGGCCACAGCCAUUAUUGUUAUUACCACCACUGGUCGCUCUGCUCAUUUGGUUUCAAAGUACAGGCCUCGCUGCCCAAUUGUGGCUGUAACUCGAUUCCCACAGGUGGCCAGACAGUGCCAUCUCUACCGUGGUAUUAUUCCCAUCCACUACACUGAGGAUGAGAAUGCUGAACGUAUUGAAGACUGGAUGAAUGAUGUCAAUGCUCGCGUAGACUAUGCUGUUCAGUAUGGCAAGGAGUGUGGCUUCAUCAAGCCCGGCGACCCUGUUGUUGUGGUGACUGGCUGGCAGAAGGGAGCUGGCUUUACCAAUACCAUGCGCGUCCUCGUUGUACCUUCAACUGGCCCAACAGCCUCCGGUGUGAAACUAGGAGCACAGUCAUCUGUUAAGUCAAGCCCUCCUGCCAGUGGAGAGCAAAAGAGAACUGAAAAGGCUCAGCCAGAUAUUCCAUGGCCGAGUUUCCUUGCACACAUGGGUCCUUACCACCUAUGUGCUGCAGCAGUUGCUAACAAGAUUUAAGAUGAUAGGAUUGUGCCUUGAAAUGUGAGAGAAGUUGUGACAAUGAGAUAGCUGUGUGAACCAAAGUAAUCUCCCAUGUUAUAAGCCAGUAGUAUCCACUGUAUUUCUAAGUUGUCAGGAAUUUGCCUGCAGCAAUUAUACAAUAAACGUAAUUGGAUGAA